CCGGGAAGCAGCAGGUGCACAAGGACAUUCUGAGGACAGGAGCUGUUCAAGAACAACUUGGCUCCAGAAAAGAGAGGCCGUUCUUAACACAAGACCAUCCAGAAGGCAACACUCACACGAUCUGUCAGAUAAGCAUUAACUGAGAACAUGGCUCGGAGAAGACACCAUCAUUUCCCACAACCUUGAGACUCAAAGCACUCCAGAUCUAUUGGGUUAACCUACAUUUCGUCCUCUGGGACCACAGAGACUCACCUGCGCCAGGCGCACACUCCUGCCGCAGCAGACAUGAAUCAUUAUCAUGAAUCCUUUACUUACAAAAGUCCUGGAGGGUCUUGCAGCAGAAACAGCAACUGUGCAUUACACAACGACAACAUUUGCACAAAGGCAAAGUAGAAGAUGCAAUGCAGUUUACAUGGGUGCUUUUAUAUGGCGCUGGGUGAUGUUUACAUUGCUCCUCUCUGAACUGGCUUCCCAUCGUCACUUCAAAGCAUCAUCUCUCUUCGGGAUCCCUCAGAGGUGCAGUUCACUCGGAGUUCAUCAUUACUCUAAACCCCAGCGUCAAAGUUGCUUCCCCUCUACCGUCUUAACGUAUUUCUUAGAUUAUUUAGAAAGCAGAAACGGAACCACCAAAGGAAGCACUCAAACGCCUUUGAUAUCAGCGUUGCGCCCCACACGGCGCUCGGCCCAAUUAUCCCGAGGUUGCGCAAUUCUUUUCCCCAACACUCGGGUGCCCCGCUGUACAUCAACACCUUUCGCUCCCCUGAGAAUCCGUCAGCUUGAAUUGUCACACGGUUCCCAGGCGGCACAAGAACAAGUGGCUUUCCUCGUUAAGCGCGCACGCUGUUUUACAAUUGGAACAAGUGGGACGCCCAUCGCGCCUGAAGACGAACGGCCCCAUCGGAGCCUUAUUAAAAACUCUGCGGUUGUGAGGAGUAAUCCAAAAUAAUGUUCAGUUUGAAAUUUGGAACAUCUGUUUCUCGAUGUUAUGCACCCACUUCAAUUAGACUACCAAUUCUCUACAUUUUUGUUUGACAUGAGACACGUUAUUAAUGAUUGCUUAUGGCCACAAAAGAAGGUAGAAAGAAAAGAAAACAUUUUUUCAUACGCAUAAAACAUUUAAAGGAUAAGAUUUCCCAUUGGCUUUCACUCAAUCAAAUAUCUGACAUUCAAUACUUCCCCUUCAUACGUCCCUCGAGCCCACACAUCCACACAAUAGCUUCAUCUCACACAACACAGUCUCAUUAUUUAUACAGCACCUGUCUGCGAAGGAAUAUUAGAGAUUGCAGUAAAUAAGCCGCGCAAUAUGUGUCUAGGGAGGCGGGCAGCACAUGAGCAUUUACUUUAAAAAUACUCGGCGGAGGACAGCUGCCAAGAAGUAAACUGAAUCCGUAAUGGCCUCCAUAACAGGAAACCCUUCCCUGAUGCCUUUCAUUUGCACUGUGGAGGACGGAUGCUCCUCGCGGUCCUUCUCUGUCUCCCCUCUCAACCAGCACAGAUACCUCUUCAAAUUGCCCUUUAGCAUCGAGGGCCCCGUUGCACACUUCACAUUAUUCAAUGCAGUUUUUGUGGAGUUAACCUCCAAUAUUUAUGUGAUCAUUUUAAAAAGAAAAGCAUCAAUGUGAAACACCUGGUCAUAUGAUCCAUGCAGGUAGGGGGGGGCUUUAUUUCACCUUCACUACUGGACACAUGCCAUCGAAAGACAGAACAGACAACUAGUAACGUCUCUAUUUGACUAAACUACUGAAACUGUGAGAACACUGUUAUCUUCAUGUGUAGCCAUCUUUGCAUUUACUAUGACAUUGAGGCUGAAAGGUCACUGUUUGUUCUACAUAAUAUCUACAAUACCACACAUUAUUAUCGGUUCAGUUUUCCAACUCUGUUUUGCCAAAAUAUUGACUGUAUUGUUCUUGUAUGAAGACCAGCAGAGAAGGCAUUGGCUGUUAUUUAUGAACAUUUGCCGAGGACGGGCUAAUCUGUUUUCCCUCGUCGAGGUGCCGUCGAAGUCUCACUGGGGUUUUGUGCAGAGAGGAGCUCUUCAUUGUGCCGUCUCUUGGAAGGCUUUGAUUUCAAUUGUUCCUCAUUAGCGCUUCCAUUCGGCAGAGAAGUGUGUUGGCCAUGAAAUAUUCAACAGUUCCAACGCGAGUCGGAACUCACUCGUCUGAAUCAACGGCGAGGAGUUUUUCUUAAGAUCCA
ensembl:lncRNA